GAUUAAUACCCCAUAGGAAGCUUUAUCCAUGAUUUAGCUUUUAAAGCCUUCGGGCGCUGAGGGAUUGGGAUAUGCUCUAUUAGCUAGUUGGCGGGAUAAAAGCCCACCAAGGCAAUGAUAGAUAGCUGGUCUUAGAGGAUGAACAGCCACAAUGGGAUUGAGAUACGGCCCAUAUUCCUACGGGAAGCAGCAGUAGGGAAUCUUCCACAAUGGACGAAAGUCUGAUGGAGCAAUACCAUGUGAACGAUGAAGGCCUUUUUGGUUGUAAAGUUCUUUUACGAGGGAUAAUUAUGAUAGUACUUCGUGAAUAAGUGACAGCAAACUAUGUGCCAGCAGCUGCGGUAAUACAUAGGUCGCAAGCAUUAUUCGGAUUUAUUGGGCGUAAAGCAAGCGCAGGCGGAUGUGUAAGUUCUGUGUUAAAUGCAGCUACUCAAUAGUUGUAUGCACCGAAAACUACAUGUCUAGAUGGUGGUAGGGAGUUUCGGAAUUAAGCAUGGAGCGGUGGAAUGUGUAGAUAUGCUUAAGAACACCAGAGGCGAAGGCGGAAACUUAGGCCAUAAAUGACGCUUAGGCUUGAAAGUGUGGGGAGCAAAUGGGAUUAGAUACCCCAGUAGUCCACACCGUAAACGAUGGGUAUUAGAUAUUAGGGCUUUAGCUUUAGUGUUGUAGCUUACGCGUUAAAUACCCCGCCUGGGUAGUACAUAUGCAAAUAUGAAACUCAAAGGAAUUGACGGGGACCUGAACAAGUGGUGGAGCAUGUUGCUUAAUUCGAUAAUACACGAAAAACCUUACCAAGGUUUGACAUCCCUCGCAAAGCUAUAGAAAUAUAGUAGAGGUUAUCGAGGUGACAGGUGGUGCAUGGCUGUCGUCAGCUCGUGUCUUGAGAUGUUUGGUUAAGUCCCGCAACGAGCGCAACCCCACUCUUUAGUUACUUGUCUAAAGAGACUGCACAGUAAUGUAGAGGAAGGAUGGGAUCACGUCAAGUCAUCAUGCCCCUUAUGCCUUGGGCUGCAAACGUGCUACAAUGGCGAACACAAUGUGUUGCAAACCAGCGAUGGUAAGCUAAUCACCAAAUUUCGUCUCAGUUCGGAUAGGAGGCUGCUAAUUCGCCUCCUUGAAGUUGGAAUCACUAGUAAUCCCGUGUCAGCUAUAUCGGGGUGGAAUCC
rnacentral:rRNA from 1 species